rnacentral:lncRNA from 1 species
AAGAUGACUUUUAUUGCUUUAUACAACUUUUGUUAUUGUUUUGCCUUAUGCCUGGCAAGCAGAAGGGAAUGUAAUGAAGCAGUAUAAUAUUUCUGUAAUACCUAUUAUUUAUAUAAAAUCUUAAAAAUACCUUAAUCCUCCUGCAGAACUUUACAGAAGGUUCAUCAGAUCUGACAAAUAACCUGUUAGUUGAUUGCCUUUAUGCUCAGGCCCAUAAUCCCGUGGAAAUAACCUGUUUUGUUCGGUAUUGUUGCUCCUCAGAAGAUCAGUUUUACAUGCCUUAUGGAUGUCUGCUGUGGUAUCAUCUGACAUCUGUGGGCCUAGGAUUUUCUCAAGUUGCCUUCCAUAGCUGAUCCACAUGUUCAGCAGAAGUACACUCACUCUGGCAAAGAUCCAUUC